rnacentral:lncRNA from 1 species
UUGUACUCCUUACAAAUUUGAACAAUUUAAAAGAUGUCAACAUAGGAUUACACUAAGAUCAUGCUGCAUCUAGUGCAGAAACUGAGUAACAUCAAUUAAAAAAAAUUGCCCAAAACAACAAAGAUCUCAUAAAACUUAUAUUAAACAAGAUAAAUGUUCACCUUUGCAAAUCCGAAUCUAUCUUUUCCAGUGUUAGGAAUGUCAGGAAUGUUAGCAUCCAUCUUGCGGUGACAUAAAACAUAUCAGGAAGGGAUAAAAAAGAGCAAUACAUUUAUAAUAUCAUAACUAUAGCUGACAAAGAUCCUUAAUAAUUUGACAACUCUAGUCCAUAGAGUGUCUCAAGAAAAUAAAGCUAAUUUGUUAAGAAUUUAUUUUUACAGUAUCACUAUUGUAGUACUCGGAAAGGCCUUGUGGAAAUGGAUAAGCUAAUUUACUUUCUUCUAACAGAUGAGGAGACAAGUAAAAUCUAACAUCAUUGAUUUUAAAUGGUAAAAAUAAUAUAUGAUCAAGAAUUUUUCAUACACUCUAAGGUUACAAUAAUUCUUUAACAAUAGUUACUAGUAUAAUAUACAAAGAAUCUCACGAAUGGAUAAGCUAAUUUGCUUUCUUCAACCAAGGAGGAGCUAAUCAAAUAUAAAAUCAUUAACUAAAACGAGUAAAACUAGAUGUGAUAAAGAAUUUUUAUACAUUCUGAUGUUGCCAAAAUUCUUAUACAAUACAUAUAACUCACAACAUCUACACCAAUUUUAACAGCAUUAUUGGGGCAUCCAAUUAUAAAAAGGUAUACCAAUUCUCUUUAAUAACAACAAACUGAACCUUUCAAAUUUUUAAAAAUUUGAUGUAAAAUAUUCAAGGCUAAAUGAUGUCUCAAAACAUAACUCCAGGCCUAUAGACAAGUUGGUGAGAAAAAUUAGUCUAACUGAAAUGUAACAAUAAAUUUAACAAAACCAAACAAUUAAACUCAAUUGACCUUAUGGAAGUAUUCAACGUCUGCAAAUUCUUUAAUAAAACCAAAAGCAACUAAAGAGAAAAGAGGAAAAUUUGAUUAACUAUUAGCUUACUUUUAGAAGGAGUGAAAAUUGAAAUAGGCCUCACGAACAAUAGAUUGAACAAUGCCA